UACGUAGGGUGCAAGCGUUGUCCGGAAUUAUUGGGCGUAAAGAGCUCGUAGGCGGUGUGUCACGUCGGCCGUGAAAACCUGCAGCUUAACUGUGGGCGUGCGGUCGAUACGGGCAGGCUAGAGUUCGGUAGGGGAGACUGGAAUUCCUGGUGUAGCGGUGAAAUGCGCAGAUAUCAGGAGGAACACCGGUGGCGAAGGCGGGUCUCUGGGCCGAUACUGACGCUGAGGAGCGAAAGCGUGGGGAGCGAACAGG
rnacentral:rRNA from 1 species